CAAGGAGAUCGAUGCUAAGCUGCGGGACGAAGAAGCUCGAAGGCAAAGAACAGUUGGGAGCAGGUCAAGGGUUGACAUCGAAAGGAGGGGGCAGAAGGAACUGGUUUCUAUGACAUCAUCCAAUUCUAAUGCUGAGCUGACCACGUCGUUGCUGAGAAUAGAACCGCAUCCUAAUUUGAAGAGCAUGAGUCAGAUGUUGAACGCUCGUAACACAGAUGGAUUUUCUGGUUUUUUGGUUGAUCCCUCU